UACGAGGGGAGCAAGCGUUGUUCGGAUUUACUGGGCGUAAAGGGCGCGUAGGCGGCGUGACUAGUCACUUGUGAAAUCUCCGGGCUUAACUCGGAACGGUCAAGUGAUACUGUCGUGCUAGAGUACAGAAGGGGCAACUGGAAUUCUCGGUGUAGCGGUGAAAUGCGCAGAUAUCAGGAGGAACACCAAUGGCGAAGGCAGCUCACUGGGACGGUACUGACGCUGAGACGCGAAAGCGUGGGGAGCGAACAGG
rnacentral:rRNA from 1 species